rnacentral:rRNA from 1 species
GGGGGGGGGGGGGGGGGGGCGGGGGGCGUGCAGGGCGGGCGGGGGGGGGGAGCGUGCGCCUGGAUUCAGCGGCGGACGGGUGAGGAAUGCCUAGGAAUCUGCCUGGGAGUGGGGGAUAACGUCCGGAAACGGGCGCUAAUACCGCAUACGUCCUGAGGGAGAAAGUGGGGGUUCUCGGACCCUCCGCCACUAGAUGAGCCCAGGUCGGAUUAGCCAGUUGGGGGGGGAAAGGCCCACCAAGGCGACGAACCGUAACCGGUCUGAGAGGAUGAUCAGUCACACUGGAACUGAGACACGGUCCAGACUCCUACGGGAGGCAGCAGUGGGGAAUAUUGGACAAUGGGCGAAAGCCUGAUCCAGCCAUGCCGCGUGUGUGAAGAAGGUCUUCGGAUUGUAAAGCACUUUAAGUUGGGAGGAAGGGCAGUAAGUUAAUACCUUGCUGUUUUGACGUUACCAACAGAAUAAGCACCGGCUAACUUCGUG